GCUUGAUUGUUUAUUUGUUCAAUUUAUUUAGCUUCAUGCUUAGUUAUGCUGUGGAAUGUUCAUGUAAAAUAGCAACAAGGGUACUUCUAUAUUUUUCUAUUUGUAUCCAUAUAAAUUAAUUAGGUAUCUAUAGAAAAUUAUAUUUAUAAACUAGCUUAUACAUAUAUUCAUAAAGCUUGGUAGGGAAGUUACAGUAAAUUAGAAAUGUAAUUAUUUGCUUCUUAUUGAGCAUACCUGAUGGAUAUGUUCAUAACGUAACUUGCACAUCUGAGGUCUAUAUCUGCCCUAAAACCCAUAUCCUGUUGCGUAGUAUCAGAUGUGGAUAUUCACACAUUCAAGUUACCUCUGAAAAUGGCAAUUGAGUGUUCAUGAACUGUCUGAUAAAUCUUCUGGAUUCUUGAAGGAGCCAAA
rnacentral:misc_RNA from 1 species